rnacentral:rRNA from 1 species
GGAAGAUGUAACGGGGCUAAACCAUGCACCGAAGCUGCGGCAGCGACACUAUGUGUUGUUGGGUAGGGGAGCGUUCUGUAAGCCUGCGAAGGUGACCUGUGAGGGUUGCUGGAGGUAUCAGAAGUGCGAAUGCUGACAUAAGUAACGAUAAAGCGGGUGAAAAGCCCGCUCGCCGGAAGACCAAGGGUUCCUGUCCAACG